rnacentral:rRNA from 1 species
CCUACGGGAGGCAGCAGUGGGGAAUCUUAGACAAUGGGCGCAAGCCUGAUCUAGCCAUGCCGCGUGAUCGAUGAAGGCCCUAGGGUUGUAAAGAUCUUUCGUGGGGGAAGAUAAUGACGGUACCCCAAGAAGAAGCCCCGGCUAACCCCGUGCCAGCAGCCGCGGUAAUACGGAGGGGGCUAGCGUUAUUCGGAAUUACUGGGCGUAAAAGCGCACGUAGGCGGAUUGGAAAGUCAGAGGUGAAAUCCCAGAGCUCAACUUUGGAACUGCCUUUGAAACUCCCCAGUCUUGAGGUCGUGAGAGGUGAGUGGAAUUCCCGAGUGUAGAGGUGAAAAUUCGUAGAUAUUCGGAGGAACACCAGUGGNGAG